AUGAACGCUAGCGGCAGGCUUAACACAUGCAAGUCGAGGGGCAGCACGGGUAGCAAUACCUGGUGGCGACCGGCGCAAGGGUGCGUAACGCGUGAGCAACAUGCCCUAUACAGGGGGAUAAUCCAGGGAAACUUGGUCUAAUAUCCCAUAGUAUUUAGAGGAGGCAUCUUCUAUAAAUUAAAGCUUCGGUGGUAUAGGAUUGGCUCGCGUGACAUUAGCUAGAUGGUGAGGUAACGGCUCACCAUGGCAAUGAUGUCUAGGGGUUCUGAGAGGAAGGCCCCCCACACUGGGACUGAGACACGGACCAGACUCCUACGGGAGGCAGCAGUGAGGAAUAUUGGUCAAUGGACGCAAGUCUGAACCAGCCAUGCCGCGUGCAGGAUGACGGCCCUAUGGGUUGUAAACUGCUUUUCCACGGGAAGAACCCUCCGACGUGUCGGAGACUGACGGUACCGUGGGAAUAAGCAUCGGCUAACUCCGUG
rnacentral:rRNA from 1 species